GGUGGCUUGAUGGUUAAGAGCUUGGCUGCUAACCAAAAGGCUGGCAGUUCGAAUCCACCAGCCACCC
rnacentral:tRNA from 1 species